CCUACGGGGGACAGCAGUGAGGAAUAUUGGUCAAUGGACGAGAGUCUGAACCAGCCAAGUAGCGUGAAGGAUGACUGCCCUAUGGGUUGUAAACUUCUUUUAUAUGGGAAUAAAACGUUCCACGUGUGGGAUUUUGUAUGUACCAUAUGAAUAAGGAUCGGCUAACUCCGUGCCAGCAGCCGCGGUAAUACGGAGGAUCCGAGCGUUAUCCGGAUUUAUUGGGUUUAAAGGGAGCGUAGGUGGAUUGUUAAGUCAGUUGUGAAAGUUUGCGGCUCAACCGUAAAAUUGCAGUUGAAACUGGCAGUCUUGAGUACAGGAGAGGUGGGCGGAAUUCGUGGUGUAGCGGUGAAAUGCUUAGAUAUCACGAAGAACUCCGAUUGCGAAGGCAGUUCACUGGACUGCAACUGACACUGAGGCUCGAAAGUGUGGGUAUCAAACAGGAUUAGAGACCCGGGUAGUC
rnacentral:rRNA from 1 species